rnacentral:rRNA from 1 species
UACGGAGGUGGCAAGCGUUGCUCGGAAUCACUGGGCGUAAAGGGCGCGUAGGCGGUCAGCACAAGUCAGUUGUGAAAUCUCCGGGCUUAACUCGGAAAGGUCAACUGAUACUGUGCGACUAGAGUGCAGAAGGGGCAACUGGAAUUCUCGGUGUAGCGGUGAAAUGCGUAGAUAUCGAGAGGAACACCUGCGGCGAAGGCGGGUUGCUGGGCUGACACUGACGCUGAUGCGCGAAAGCCAGGGGAGCGAACGGG